rnacentral:rRNA from 1 species
UUACAAUUUCUUCGGAAUGACGAUUUAGUGACUGAGUGGCGGACGGGUGAGUAACGCGUGGGUAACCUGCCUUACACAGGGGGAUAACAGUUAGAAAUGACUGCUAAUACCGCAUAAGACCACAGCACCACAUGGUGCAGGGGUAAAAACUGAGGUGGUGUAAGAUGGGCCCGCGUCUGAUUAGCUAGUUGGUGGGGUAAGAGCCCACCAAGGCGACGAUCAGUAGCCGACCUGAGAGGGUGACCGGCCACAUUGGGACUGAGACACGGCCCAAACUCC